GAUGAACGCUAGCUACAGGCUUAACACAUGCAAGUCGCGGGGCAGCAUGGGGGUUGCUUGCAAUCCCUGAUGGCGACCGGCGCACGGGUGAGUAACGCGUAUCCAACCUGCCCCUCACCACGGGAUAACCCGGCGAAAGUCGGACUAAUACCGUAUGUUGUCCAUUGACGGCAUCCGAUUUGGACGAAAGGCUUAGCGGUGAGGGAUGGGGAUGCGUCCGAUUAGCUUGACGGCAGGGUAACGGCCCACCGUGGCUACGAUCGGUAGGGGUUCUGAGAGGAAGGUCCCCCACACUGGAACUGAGACACGGUCCAGACUCCUACGGGAGGCAGCAGUGAGGAAUAUUGGUCAAUGGGCGUAAGCCUGAACCAGCCAAGUAGCGUGCAGGAUGACGGCCCUAUGGGUUGUAAACUGCUUUUAUGCGGGGAUAAAGGGACCCACGUGUGGGUUUUUGCAGGUACCGCAUGAAUAAGGACCGGCUAAUUCCGUG
rnacentral:rRNA from 1 species